GGAGAGAGAGAUCCAGAGAGUGGGAGAGAGAUCCAGAGAGUGGGAGAGAGAUCCAGAGAGUGGGAGAGAGAGAUCCAGAGAGUGGGAGAGAGAGAUCCAGAGAGUGGGAGAGAGAUCCAGAGAGUGGGAGAGAGAGAUCCAGAGAGUGGGAGAGAGAGAUCCAGAGAGUGGGAGAGAGAGAUCCAGAGAGUGGGAGAGAGAGAUCCAGAGAGUGGGAGAGAGAGAUCCAGAGAGUGGGAGAGAGAAAUGUCCUGGGGACUGGGGUAGGGUGGAGCAGGGCUGGGUAUGAGUUUAGGUCAGGGCUGGGUAUGAGUUUAGGUCAGGGCUGGGUAUGAGUUUAGGUCAGGGCUGGGUAUGAGUUUAGGUCAGGGCUGGAUAUGAGUUUAGGUCAGGGCUGGGUAUGAGUUUAGGUCAGGGCUGGGUAUGAGUUUAGGUCAGGGCUGGGUAUGAGUUUAGGUCAGGGCUGGGUAUGAGUUUAGGUCAGGGCUGGGUAUGAGUUUAGGUCAGGGCUGGGUAUGAGUUUAGGUCAGGGCUGGGUAUGAGUUUAGGUCAGGGCUGGGUAUGAGUUUAGGUCAGGGCUAGGGCUCUAGCACAGCUUCCGAGGUGAGAGGGAGUGUGCAGGGUGGCUGGCUGAGUGAUCUGAUGUUAGUGAAACGAGGAUAGAAAGGAUACCUGGGACCAGCUCAUGACUCACAGCCAGAUGGUGCUGGCAAAAACAUGGACACACACACACACACAGAGAGAGAACAGUGAGGCAGCGAGCGACCUCUUAGCCAUGGUAAAUUACAGUAGGGGUAAUUGCAUUAGUAGGGUAAGAUAAUUAGCUAAGAGGUGCAGGCUGCUAUUGCGGCUGGAAGCUGCUGGAGUGUGUGUGUGUGUGUGUGUGUGUGUG
ensembl:lncRNA